GAUGGACCCGCGGUGCAUUAGCUAGUUGGUGAGGUAACGGCUCACCAAGGCCACGAUGCAUAGCCGACCUGAGAGGGUGAUCGGCCACAUUGGGACUGAGACACGGCCCAAACUCCUACGGGAGGCAGCAGUAGGGAAUCUUCGGCAAUGGACGAAAGUCUGACCGAGCAACGCCGCGUGAGUGGAGAAGGUUUUCGGAUCGUAAAACUCUGUUGUUAGAGAAGAACAAGGGUGAGAGUAACUGUUCACCCCUUGACGGUAUCUAACCAGAAAGCCACGGCUAACUACGUGCCAGCAGCUGCGGUAAUACGUAGGUGGCAAGCGUUGUCCGGAUUUAUUGGGCGUAAGGCGAGCGCAGGCGGUUUCUUAAGUCUGAUGUGAAAGCCCCCGGCUCAACCGGGGAGGGUCAUUGGAAACUGGGAGACUUGAGUGCAGAAGAGGAGAGUGGAAUUCCAUGUGUAGCGGUGAAAUGCGUAGAUAUAUGGAGGAACACCAGUGGCGAAGGCGGCUCUCUGGUCUGUAACUGACGCUGAGGCUCGAAAGCGUGGGGAGCAAACAGGAUUAGAUACCCUGGUAGUCCACGCC
rnacentral:rRNA from 1 species